CUUGAUGAUGACUGACAAGCUGUGCAAAAGAGCAUUUUAUCCAAGAUAUGUCUGAAGUAGA
rnacentral:snoRNA from 1 species